UGAGGGAAUAUUUGGGGUCAAUGGUCGCGAGACUGAACCAGCCAAGUAGCGUGCAGGACGACGGCCCUCUGGGUUGUAAACUGCUUUUAGUUGGGAAUAAAAGGCGGUACGUGUACCGCGUAUUGUAUGUACCAUCAGAAAAAGGACCGGCUAAUUCCGUGCCAGCAGCCGCGGUAAUACGGAAGGUCCAGGCGUUAUCCGGAUUUAUUGGGUUUAAAGGGAGCGUAGGCGGAUUUUUAAGUCAGUUGUGAAAGUUUGAGGCUCAACCUUAAAAUUGCAGUUGAAACUGGAAGUCUUGAGUGCACGCAGAGGUGCCGGAAUUCAUGGUGUAGCGGUGAAAUGCUUAGAUAUCAUGAAGAACUCCGAUCGCGAAGGCAGCUUUCCAGCGCGCUACUGACGCUGAG
rnacentral:rRNA from 1 species